UCCUACGGGAGGCAGCAGUAGGGAAUCUUCCACAAUGGACGAAAGUCUGAUGGAGCAACGCCGCGCGAGUGAUGAAGGUUUUCGGAUCGUAAAACUCUGUUGUAAGGGAAGAACAAGUACGUUAGGAAAUGAACGUACCUUGACGGUACCUUAUUAGAAAGCCACGGCUAACUACGUGCCAGCAGCCGCGGUA
rnacentral:rRNA from 1 species